CACCAUGUGAGCUCUGAGAUGUGUUUCAGAGCCUAGCUUUCACAGCUAAUCUCAGCUCUUGAGGCGUGUUGAAGAGAGCUUUUACUUUUUACAGGGUUUUGAUUUUCCCAUGGAAAAGUAUGGGAGAAUCUGUAAAGCUCAGGAGGGAUAGCGCCAUCUCGACGAGGUUGUGUUUUAAAUGUUCAUCAGCUGGCGCUAUCUAUCCUGAGUUUCAUGGGUUCUUCCUGCUAUGUGCAUCUGGGAUGCGGUUUCAGCUUUCAAGGAAUGAUACAUGUUUGCGUUGCUAAGCUUCCUUGUGCAGGGGUUCCCUUGCUUUAUGGGAUUGAUGAAAUAUUCACUCAUCCAAGGGAAACCAGGAAAGAGAGUUAAAACAAAACACAAGUAAGGGUAAUUGAUCUUUGGAAUCCUCUGCAAAGUACAAAGCUGAUGAUGAUAAGUCAAAAAAAAAAAAGAAAAAAAAGACGAGGGUUGAUCUUCGAUUUUCCCUCUAAUCUAUCCUCAUCUCUCUUAGAAUUUCUCAGAUGGAUUUUGUUUUAUCCAGGGAACUGGUUCUUGUUUCUUUAAUCAGCAUCUGGAGAUUUUGUACCAUGCUGCUAUGUAUUCUUUCUAGGUUACACCAUGACGUCUUUCAUAAAGACAAAAUCAAGUAUUUCCAAAUGAUCUUUUGCCUUAUUCCCAAAUACAAUUUUUGGCAAGAUUUGGCCUAUAAUAUAUGGUUCUCUUGCCUUUGGUUUUUUCCA